UUUUCCACUACGAAAUGACGGGGAUUUCUUUUUUGCAUCCCAUAUUUUGUUAUGACACUCAUAAAUACCAACAUUUCUUCUGUGAUAUGCGUUUCUAUGCACCUAAGGAUGUGUUGCGGAAUACCACACGAGCCUGCACCACAGAACAGUGUGGAGGGUUAAAUGUGGGUGCAGGAAGCAAUUCUCUAAUUGUUUUCUGAGUCUCCCCAUUACACUGUAAGAGUAAAAUACGACCUUUUGCAGAUACAUAGACAUCUGAAGUGUUUUUGGACAUGGCGAGUCUAAUGAAGCAAGGGACAGCAGCUGAAGAAGAUAGAGAGGCACAUGGCAGGGACCACUUUUUAAGAAAUAUUCAUCAAUCAUAAAUGCUCAAGAAUAAAAAUGAAUAAUUAAGAAUUAAUUUUAAAUUUAAAAAGUUUUAUAAUAGGCUUCAGAAUAUACUUUUUCUAAAAUUCUAAUGCGACAAUAUUUUUGAGAUAAAAUAAGAAUUUUGAAAACC
rnacentral:lncRNA from 1 species